UGCCAGCAGCCGCGGUAAUACGUAGGAUGCAAGCGUUAUCCGGAAUUAUUGGGCGUAAAGAGUGUGUAGGUGGUUUGUUAAGUUAAAUGUUAAAUCUUCAGGCUCAACUUGAAGGCUGCAUUUAAUACUGGCAGACUCGAGGUAUGGAGAGGUAAGCGGAAUUAGUAGUGUAGCGGUGAAAUGCGUAGAUAUUACUAAGAACACCAAUGGCGAAGGCAGCUUACUGGCCAUAUUCUGACACUGAGACACGAAAGCGUGGGGAGCGAACAGGAUUAGAUA
rnacentral:rRNA from 1 species